rnacentral:rRNA from 1 species
AGCGAACGCUGGCGGCAGGCUUAACACAUGCAAGUCGAGCGCCCCGCAAGGGGAGCGGCAGACGGGUGAGUAACGCGUGGGAAUCUACCCAUCUCUACGGAAUAACGCAUGGAAACGUGUGCUAAUACCGUAUACGUCCUUCGGGAGAAAGAUUUAUCGGAGAUGGAUGAGCCCGCGUUGGAUUAGCUAGUUGGUGGGGUAAAGGCCUACCAAGGCGACGAUCCAUAGCUGGUCUAAGAGGAUGAUCAGCCACACUGGGACUGAGACACGGCCCAGACUCCUACGGGAGGCAGCAGUGGGGAAUAUUGGACAAUGGGCGCAAGCCUGAUCCAGCCAUGCCGCGUGAGUGAUGAAGGCCCUAGGGUUGUAAAGCUCUUUCACCGGUGAAGAUAAUGACGGUAACCGGAGAAGAAGCCCCGGCUAACUUCGUGCCAGCCGCCGCGGUAAUAC